UCCAAAUGUGACUGAGAGGUGGCUUCUGGGC
rnacentral:piRNA from 1 species